GUAGGGUGCGAGCGUUAUCCGGAAUCAUUGGGCGUAAAGAGCUCGUAGGCGGUUCAGCAAGUCGGCUGUGAAAUUCCGAGGCUCAACCUCGGAACUGCAGUCGAUACUGCUGUGACUCGAGUCCGGUAGAGGAGAAUGGAAUUCCCGGUGUAGCGGUGAAAUGCGCAGAUAUCGGGAGGAACACCAGUAGCGAAGGCGGUUCUCUGGGCCGGCACUGACGCUGAGGAGCGAAAGCGUGGGGGUAGCAAACAGGAUUAGAUACCCUGGUAGUCCACGCCCGUAAACGUUGGAUACUAGGUGUGGGGUUCCGACCAACGGUCCCCGUGCCGAAGCUAACGCAUUAAGUAUCCCCGCCUGGGGAUACGGCCGCAAGGCUA
rnacentral:rRNA from 1 species